rnacentral:rRNA from 1 species
AGUAUUUCUGUCUCUUUUAUAUCAAUAAAAAUUGAAUUAUAGGUGAAGAUGCCUAUAUAUUUUUAAAGGACAAAAAGACCCUAUUGAGCUUUAUUUCUUAUUAAUUAAAAAAGAAAUACCACAAAUUUUUAUUAAAAGGAGAUUCUGUUGGGGCGACAAAGGAACACAAAAAACUUCCAAAAAAAAAAAGAAAACACUUCUAUUCAAUGAUCCUUAAUAGCUAAAGAAACCAGCUACCAUAGGGAUAACAGGCUAAUCAUUUUAAAGAGUUCAUAUUGAUAAAAUGGGUUGGCACCUCGAUGUUGGCUUAGGGUAUCCUAUAAGUGCAGAAGCUA